rnacentral:rRNA from 1 species
GGCAAGCGUUGUCCGGAUUUACUGGGCGUACAGCGCGCGCAGGCGGCCGCGUAUGUGACCGGUGACAUCCUCGGGCUCAACCCGAGGCGGCCCGGUUAGACAGCGUAGCUGGAGUCAGGGAGAGGGAUGUGGAAUACCCGGUGGAGCGGUGAAAUGCGUAGAGAUCGGGUGGAACACCAGCGGCGAAGGCGGCAUCCUGGCCCUGUUCUGACGCUGAGGCGCGAUAGCGUGGGGAGCAAACGGG